GGAAGUAAAAGUCGUAACAAGAUUUCCGUAGGUGAACCUGCGGAAGGAUCAUUAUUGUAUAACCGAGGUGCGAGGGCUGUCGCUGACCCGAAAGGUCGUGCACGCCCGAGUGCCCUCACACACAUCCAUCUCACCCCUAUGUGCACCACCGCGUGGGUCCCCCUUUGGCUUGUUCGGAGGGUGGCUUACGUUUUCACACAAACUUUGUAUGCAGUGUAGAAUGUAUUUUUUGUUUUUGCGAUCACGCAAUCAAUACAACUUUCAACAACGGAUCUCUUGGCUCUC
rnacentral:misc_RNA from 1 species